AGGUAUUUUGAUGAAGGACAUGGGAGCUGCCCGUUUGGAGGGAACGGUUUUUAUAAGCAUGUGUACCCUGAUGGCCGUAGAGAGGAGCCACAGAGACAGAAGGUGGGAACAUCAAGCAGAUACCCGGCCCAAUGAAGGAACCACUUCUGGGAACUCAUUGAGGAAAGAGAGAACAGCAGCCCCUUUGACAACGAUGAAGAAGAGGUUGUCACCUUUGAGCUGGGUGAGUUGUUGCUUAUGCUUUUGGCUGCAGUUGGGGACGAUGAACUAACAGACUCUGAAGAUGAGAGCGACUUGUUUCAUGAGGAGCUGGAAGAUUUUUAUGACUUGGAUCUAUAGCAACCUUGUGUGGCGUGUGAACUGGUCUGCUGACCCCAGACAGCAGCUGUUCCCUGUGGUGGUGUGGCAGUGCCUGUGUUCUCUCCUAGGCAGGCCUGUCAACUCCAGGUGCUGGCAUAAGAAUUUUUACCCAGGGCCUGUCUUUUCAACCCCUCACCUUUCCCCAAGGAGUGUGUUGUUUUCCCUCUUGAAAAAAAGUUAGAAAAAUAAAUCUUAAAGUUAGUUUUCUGAAAAAAAAAAAAAAAAAGAAAAAGGGAACUAGAAAAAUAAAAAAGAACAAAAAAUAAAUAAAAAAGAAAAAGGGAACUUGGCAAACAAUACCAAUCGAUUAUUAAAUUUUAGAGGUUUCCUUAGAGUCAGGAAGAUGAUGAGAUUGUGCUUACAGUUAAAAACUAUGAAGUCCUUAGUAGAGUCAAGAAAAGAUAUGAGAGGUAAGAAUUGGAAAGAAAACAAUAACUAUUUGAAGACAUGCUUAUCUAUGUAGAACUUAAAAUAGCAUCUAUGGACAAAUUAUUAAAAGGGUUUUUCAGGCACCAAUAAUAAUAAGAAAAAGUAAACAGAAAAUAAAAAUUCCAGUCUCAAUGGAACAAAAACAAUGUUACCUCUUAUUUUUAAUUAAAGAGGGGCAGCCUGUAAUCCCAGCACUUUGGGAGGCCGAGGUGGGUGGAUCAUGAGGUCAGGAGAUUGAGACUAUCCUGGCUAACACGGUGAAACCCCAUCUCUACUGAAAAUACAAAAAAUUAGCCGGGCAUGGUGGCAGGCGCCUGUAGUGCCAGCUACUCGGGAGGCUGAGGCAGGAGAAUUGCGUCAACCCGGGAGGUGAAGCCUGCAGUGAGCAGAGAUCACACCACUGCACUCCAACCUGGGCGACAGAGCGGUUUGAGACUCUGUCUCAAACAAACAAACAAACAAAAGCAGCAAAAUCAUUCUGGAGAAAAUUAUAAAACAUUGAAAA
rnacentral:lncRNA from 10 species